GACGGGGGAUGCAAGUGUUAUCCGGAAUAAUUGGGCGUAAAGCGUCUGUAGGUGGUUUACCAAGUCUGUUGUUAAAACUCAAGGCUUAACCUUGAUCAGGCAACAGAAACUAGUAGGCUUGAGUACGGUAGGGGCAGAGGGAAUUCUCGGUGUAGUGGUGAAAUGCGUAGAUAUCGAGAAGAACACCAAUAGCGAAAGCACUCUGCUGGGCCGAAACUGACAUUGAGAGACGAAAGCUAGGGGAGCGAAAGGG
rnacentral:rRNA from 1 species